UCGCCGUCUUUGUAUACAUACCUCCAUGUGAUGAAACUUCUUUUUAGUGUGUGAGUGAUGCUUUACAUUAUGUGAAUAUUUAUACUCAAGAAAGUGCAUUAUACAGUUUUCGUUUCAAGAUGAUAAGCAGGCUGUACUAGGACAUAAUGGCACGGAUUCGGCACCACCACCCCAAGGAAAUUUCGUCAGUUGGGGAAACAAAAGGCGAAAUCUAAUGUAAAACGUGAACUGGAUGACUGAAGAAUAACCUGUCGGUUGGAAACCGAUAAAGACAUUGGCAGAAGAUGAGGCGCUACAUGUGGUGAAUCACGCUGGACGAGUGAGACCUGGUUGCGCCGCGACCGGACUCGAAACGGGCAGUUGUGGACGAAGCCGCCGGUCGCGAAGAGCUGCGGGUUCAGGAAGUGGCGGGCGUUAUCCAUGCGGUCGAGCAGGAAGAGCAGCGCCUUGCAGCCCAGCAGCGACAUGGUGCGGUCCUCCGCCGCUAUGACCACCAGCAGCGGCGGCAGCACCUCCUCCGUCAGCGUGUCCUGCCGGCCGGAACCCUGCAUCAGCUUCACUACACCGUGUAGGACGUCAGCAAGCUGUGUGCACACCGCUACCGACAGUUUGCCGGUAGCGAGGCUCUCGUUCA